CUCUCCCGCAACCACCUCUAGCUAGCCGCAUCCUCCUCCUCCUCCUCCUCUCCCCGGCCGCCCUCUUCCUACGCCGCUAGCCUCCUCUUUCGGUGCUUGCCGUGAUGUGAAUUAUGGCGUGGAAAGGUGCGCGGGCAUGCUCUCCACAGGCUUUCUUGAACUGUGAACUCGCGGGCGGAUUGUGGCGCUCCCGCCUUCUCUUCGGCCGCCUCCGCCUGUUGAUGGUUCAAGAAAGCCCAUGGAAACCAUGCCCGCCUCCUGUGUCUCGCCUCUGCCCGGCGACGUGGGUUGCAGCUCUGUGUCUUUGCUCGCAGAAUUUCGCGUCCGUUUUCCUGAAUUAUUCCUUUUUUGCUCUGAAUUCUGUGUUUGUCUGCUUGAAUUAUGAGUCUUUGGUCUGAAUUCUGUGUCUGUUUACCUGGAUUAUGCGUUUUUUGCUCUGAAUUUUCAGUCUGCUGGUCUGAAUUGCGCGUCUGUGCUCUGAAUUUUCAGUCUGCUGCCCUGAAUUAUACGUCUGCUGGCUGGCCUGAAUUGUGUGUCCGUGCUCUGAAAUAUGGGUCUGCUGGUCUGAAUGAUGCGUCUGUUCGUCUUAAUUACGCGCCUCUGCUUCGAAUUAUGUGUUUGUUCGCCUGAAUUACGCGUGCUUGCUCUGAAUUUUGCUCUUCUGCUGCUCAAUUCAGGGAAUUCUCUUGGCGGUCCUUCUCGAGCCAUCAAACACGUGAAUUCCGCCGUGCGGGGGUGGGUGGAUAAUUGCGGCGUUAAUUGCCUUGUCCCGUUGGAGCAAGUCCACGGCAGUUGCGCCAGGGAUUUACCUGGCCUAAAUUCGGCAACAGGAUGGCCUGAAUUCGGCCAUCGUAAAUGCUGCCUGCAGUUGCGUUUGGCCUGUCUGGACAAUUUUCGUCUUUUCCCAAUUCUGAAUCGCUCAUCCAUCCACGCCCUGUUUAUGGAAAAUUCAGAACAAGAGCCCAAUUGCCCAUCCACGCUCUGCUUAUGGAAAUUUCAGAACACAAGCCCCGGUGUGUUCAUGGAAAAUUCAGAACACAAGCAUAAUUGCCCGCGUGAGGAAACGCCCGGCCCGAGAGCUUAGGUCGAUUUCCAUGCAAGAGUUCUUCAGACCAGAGACGACGCCGCUGCUAAACGCUAAAGCAAGCCGAGAAUUCAGAUCUUUUUUAUUUAUUUAUUUUCAAAUUGAGAAUUCAGAUCAGGAAUGGUGUCAAAAGGUUUGGCCGAAGCAGCCUUGAGAAUCCUUCAGUGUUUUUACUUUCUGACUGAAGCAAUUUUCAGAAUU